rnacentral:rRNA from 1 species
UCAUGAAAGCCGGCUGUACCCGAAGUCAUCGUGCCAACCGCAAGGGGGCAGAUGCCGAAGGUAUGGCGUGGUGAUUGGGAGUG